AUUGAACGCUGGCGGCAGGCCUAACACAUGCAAGUCGAGCGAGCGGCGGACGGGUGAGUAAUGUAUGGGGACUGCCCGAUAGAGGGGGAUAACUACUGGAAACGGUAGCUAAUACCGCAUACUAUCGGAUAACCCAUAGGGGCGUUGCUAGUAGGUGAGGUAAUGGCUCACAUAGGCGACGAUCCCUAGCUGGUCUGAGAGGCUGAUCAGCCACCAGGUGACUGAGACACGGCCCAGACUCCUACGGAGGCAGCAGUGGGGAAUAUUGCACAAUGGGCGCAAGCCUGCUGCAGCCAUGCAGCGUGUAUGAAGAAGGCCCUAGUGUUGUAAAGUACUUUCAGUCGGGAGGCGUUACCGACAGAAGAAGCACCGGCUAACUCCGUGCCAGCCGCCGCGGUAAUAC
rnacentral:rRNA from 1 species